UUAAUUAGAUAAGAAUCUUAAAAUCAAACAAGACUAUUCUUUAAAUUAACAACUUAUUAAUACUUGCUAAUAAUUUGGGAAAAAUCAUAAUUCUAACUAACAUCUAAAGAAAAUCAGAUUCUGAUCUAUUCAUCAUCAUAUAGCAUAUUAGUAUCUAUUAAAUGGUUCGGGAAAAGUCAAAUCCUGUGCGAUCAUAUUUUAAAUUAGAUAUUGUAAAAAAUCAAUCUACUUGUAAACUAGAAAACUGUGGUAAAGUUUUAACCGGGGACCA